ensembl:lncRNA
GCUAGCGACCAGCAGUGGAAAGAAAACGGAUGUGAAAGAGAGGAAUUUGAUUGAUUAGCUGAUAGAUUGAUUAAGUGAUGUAGAUGCUAAGUUAAAAGAGCCAUCGCUGGCCCCUUUAUAUGUGUUUAACCCCACUCCCACACUAACCUUCAGUCUGUAAGCCGCUCAGCGGGGUCCAUUACAUCUAGGUGUGAAUAAUUCAUGCUCUGGAUGCUGUAGCAUGUGUGCAGAUUCAGAUGCUCUGGCGUCUGGAGGCCGGGAUCUGUAGCAUGUGUUUUGUGUGAGAACGCUGGCCUCUUCUUAACUUGUGUUUGUGUUCGGUUGCUGGGUGCCUGGCUGACGAGAGGGGGCCCCGGCAACCGUCCGCCUACGCCUCAUCACGGACGGUUCUGUUUUUUCCUUCCCCCUUCUUGCAAAGGAUUGCGUGCAUUAACACAGAACGUAGAGAGGGAUCGAGGAGGGGCGGGCACACGAAAUGGCAAUUAAACUGUAUGACCCCCGUCGCCUCCGCAGGUCGCUUGCUGUCACUGUGUCGGCUGAAAAGAAGAGAGGGGAUGCAAACAAGCGCACGGCAGUGGAUAUGAUAUGUGUUCCUCCCAUAGCUAUAAAACCUGCAGAUCUUACAAACCGGAGCACCAGACGAUCUCAAACACUGCCAUCUUACUUGUGUGUACUGACAACAGAGUGUAUCCAGGGAAGCAGGGCAUGUUGGGACACAAAGGGGCUGUAACAGCAUCGCAGACUCGUCCUUAAAUACUGCAACAAGCACUUAGUUUGACAAGCUGCUGACAGAAGCGUACGCGACUUGAGCUUAACGUGGUGACAGCCUAAACUGAGGUGUGUUCACUCCCUCAGAGUCAGAAGACACUUAAGGGUGCAAAAAAAAAAAAAACAUUGCGUUAUUAGAUGAUGCUAUUUGUGCACAAUAAAUGUUUAUUGGGAUUUAUUGCGCUGCUAUGACAUCCUGGCUGAGAGCUUUCAGUUACUAAAUGAGGGAGAAUUAACUGUUGCGUUUAGAAGCUUUAAAUAGCACCAAGGAGGGAGGGAACGCAUGGGCAUGGACUUGCACUAUGACUGCAUGUCUCACUUAAAGUGCAUGUAAAAAAUGUGCAUAUGUGUGCGCGUAUCCAACAUCAUCGAUACAGUAUAAGAAGACCUUCAAAAUUCUGCACUAAUGCCAAAGAAUGGGGGAUUAAUGAAUGAUCCAUGACCUCAUUGGCCUCGAGAGAGUUUUUCAAUGUGACUAAAUGCUCUGGAGCACAAUGACAGGCACCGGUGCACUGGAUGCUUCUGCCAUUUAUUAAAAUAUUCCCUCCAAUCUGUUUGAUGAUUUUCAUUAUUAACACUCAACUGAAAUAUUAAGGCCUUGAAAAGCCCUUCACUCUACUUCAAAAUGCAGGGAAA